rnacentral:lncRNA from 1 species
UUAGGUACUAGGGUUUCACAAAAGAAAAAAGGGAGCAGCUGCAGCCCUAGAGGCGCCGCUUCAGAGGCGGAAUCGGAGACGGAGCGUCCCUGAGACGCGACUGCCGGUGGUGUUUGCUCCGACGUCCCAGGAGCCGACGGCGAGGCUUGAUAAACGGACUGGAAGCGACGGCGUGCUCUCUUGGAGCUGGCGUCGAAGCCCGAUAGGCGG